rnacentral:misc_RNA from 1 species
GCACAGUAUUAGCCAUUGCAGAACACAUAUAUAUACCUGAAUCGCAACUCGCAGAAGUGAAACACCUAUUAAUAAUACAUCACUCAAGAAAAAGGCAUAGACUUGGACUUUUUAAAGAAAACCUAAAAGUAGAAAAAUGUUUGCUUUGAGCAAAGAGCAAAAAAGAACCCAGGUUUUGAUUCUCAGUGACAAUUCAAGUGUGGCUCACAUCAUCAAUAUUACUAGAGUUGUUUUGUUCUGAGUCAGAAAACCAGACAAAUACCAGAAGGGAAGUGGGACUGGGAGUUUUUUGUAUGGAAGGUUGGGCUUGGCAGUGUUUUUUCUUAAGAAACUGCAUCCUCUAGUUAUACAAACAAUAGAAGGUUAUGGUUUUGUAACUGUACAGUAUGUACUGAAA